rnacentral:rRNA from 1 species
AUGGAGGCGACAGGGGUGAGCUUGGGGAAGGCCGCGCUGGGCGGCGCACUGGGCUAUGCCACGUCCAAGGCUGCGGAGGAAAUCGCGCUGCAGCUUGGCGUGGAGCGUGACGUGAACUUCAUCAAGGACGAGCUGCAGAUGAUGCAGUCGUUCCUGAUGAUGGCUGAUGAGGAGCAAAGCCAGAACAAGAUCCUUACGACUUGGGUGAAACAGAUCGGGGUCCUUGCCUACAAAGUGGAGGACAGCCUCAUGGAUUUUGGCCUCCACUCAGAGAAAAAGCAAUUUUGGGGGUGCAUUCCCCGCAACCCAGGUGAUAGGCGCCGUAUCGCCAAGGAGGUGAAGCAGCUGAGGGCUGAGGUGGAGGACGUGAGCAACAGGAACCUGCGCUAUCGCCUCAUCAAGGAGAGCUCAGGCUCCAAGCCUACCGUGGCAGAGGAGCGGGCCAGCAUUGCCACUGCGGCAAUGUUUGGCAUCAAUGAAGCAAGGCCUACCACCUUGGAGCAUCAGAAAACAUCAGAGGUCGAUCUCCACCAGCUGAUUACCAGCAACGAUUUAGACCUUAGGGUGAUCACCAUGUGGGGAACCAGUGGUGAUCUCGGGAAGACAUCCGCCAUCCAGGAUGUUUAUGAUGACCCAAAGGUAAAAAAAAGGUUUGGAUUCUGUGCUUGGAUUAGGUUGAUGCAUCCUUUCAAUCCACAAGAGUUUCUCAGGAGCUUGGUAAGACAAUUUUAUGAAAAUUCCCAUGAUCUGGUUGGAGAGCCCUCUUUCAAUCCACAGAAGUUCCUCCAGAGCUUGGUAAGACAACUAAAUGAAAACCCCCAUGAUGAGGUUGGAAAGCCAGAACAAGAAACAAGUGUUGGGGCCGUUCUGGCAAAGAUGGACAAGAUGGAUCAAAGUGAUUUAGUCCAUGUGUUUAAUGCACAGUUGUGUAGAAAUAGCUACCUGGUUGUCAUAAAUAACAUGUCAGCAAUAGAAGAGUGGCAUUGCAUUAAGAAGUACUUUCCCGACAACAAGAAGCAAAGUAGAAUCAUCAUUUCCACGCAGCAAGUUGAAACUGCAAGCUUGUGCACAGAGAAACCGUACCAAGUUUCAAAGUUUAAGCAGUUGUCAUUUGAUCAAACUAUUUAUUUGUUCCACAAGAAGAAUUCAGAGGAGCAGGUCAACAUGUGCUGUGUUUGUGGGGCAAGUGUUGGCACCAAUGAAGCAAGGCUGGCUGCGGCAGAGAAUGAGAGACUGAAGGCUAUGUGUGCAUCAUGUUCUGCCAAGCCUGUUCCCGACCCAAAUGAAGUUAUUACUGCUAAGAACACAGCAAUGCCCACCGAUGAAAUACAGAAGGAAAACCAAGGACCGAACAGCGCAGGUGAAGACAAAGCUUGCAACUCAGCUGCUAGAAAGAAGUUUGAUCUUAGCAAGACACUGGUACUGGCUGAUGAAGUGCUCUGCGGGCGAGAAACAGAGAAAUCUAUUGUAAUCAAAUCAGUUGUCCAACCAGACAACAAUCAGGGUUGCAAAGUGAUCUCAGUUUGGGGAAUGGGGGGUCUUGGUAAAACCACUCUUGUCCGAAGCAUCUACCGAAGCCGUCAGCUUGGUGGCUGGAAGCGUGCUUGGGCCACUGCAUUGCGUCCUUUUAACCCUGAAGUACUCCUUAGAGAUUUGGCUUUGCAGCUUCAAAAUACUAUCCAAGAAGAUCCUACCGGAUCAACAUCAACUGGAGCACAAAAGAAAACCAUAUCGGUGAUGAAACUUCAAGAUUUGAAUGAGGAGCUAGCUCAGUUACUAAGAGUAAAAAAGUGCCUUGUUGUUAUUGAUGAUAUAUGGUCCAAUUUUGAAUGGGAUUCUGUCAAACAGUGUUUACAUAAUGCUGGAAGGAUCAUAGUCACGACAAGAGAAAAAAGUAUUGCCAAACAUUGUUCAAGAGAAGACAAGAACAUGUACUGUCUUCAAGGUCUGAACAAUGCUGCUGCACUUGACCUCUUCAUGAAAACGGUAUUCAAGAAUAAUAUUGGAAAUAAUAAUUUAUUCCCAGCUAUGAUGGAUCAAGCAAGACUUAUCCUGCAGAAAUGCGACGGACUUCCCCUUGCAAUAUCGACUAUUGGUGGUUUCCUAGCCACUAAGCCAAAAACAGCUAUUGAAUGGAAGAAGAUGAGUGAUGGUAUUAACACUGAAUUGGAGAUAAAUCCUGAGCUUAUGACAAUAAAGAAAAUUCUUAUGAGGAGCUAUGAUGGUUUGCCAUACCAUCUGAAGGCUGCUUUCUUAUACAUGUCCAUAUUUCCAGAAGACUACAGAAUUAGGUGGGGUCGUUUGGUGAGGCGAUGGAUUGCAGAGGGUUACUCAAGGGAUAUGCAUGGCAUGACUGCAACUGAAAUAUGUCGGAGGUACUUCGAUGAGCUCUUGGAUAGGAGUAUGAUCUUAUCAGGAGAAGGGAUAGACCAAUACAGUCAGAAAAUAAAUUCCUGCCAACUUCAUGACAUGAUCCGUGAAAUAUGCAUCUCAAAGGCGAGGCAGGAAAACCUUGUUUUCACACUGGAGGAAGGAUGCUGUUUGAGUGACACACAAGGCGCAAUACGUCAUCUUGUCAUAGGCAGCAACUGGAAAAGAGAUAAAGAUGUGCUGGAGAGCAUCCUAGACUUGUCACAUGUACGGUCGUUGACUGUGUUCGGAGAGUGGAGACCAUUUUUCAUCUCUGAUAAAAUGAGGUUCCUCCGAGUGCUUGACUUAGAAGACACACUGGAGUUAAGAGAUCACCAUCUUUAUCAAAUUGGGCAGCUCCUUCACCUCAAGUACUUUUCUCUUCGAGGAUGUCGGAAGAUUUCAUGCUUGCCUAAUUCUUUGCGGAAUUUGAGGCACCUUGAAACACUGGAUGUUAGAGAUACAUAUAUAGAUGAGUUGCCAACAAUCACAAAUCUUUGGAAGCUACAGCACCUUCGUGGAGAUGGUCUUUUCUUAAGACGACAAGUUUUAGAUGCUUGUUUGAACAUGUUUGAUAUAUCCAAUCUGUACCGCUUCUCUAAGGAGCAUCCAAAAAAUGUUGUCCUUCCUAGAGGAAUUGGUAAAUUGAAGGCCCUUCACACACUGGGUUAUGUCAAUGUUUCUUGUGGCAAUGGAAAGGCCACUCUAAAAGAGUUGGGAGAGCUUACUCAGCUGCGUAAGCUGAAAGUGGCUGGUAUCAGUGGGAGAAACAGUACUGAGUUAUGGGUUGCCAUUGCUGGUCACAAUCAACUUCAGUCUUUGUCAGUUAAAGUAGAGAAGGCGUUUGAACAGGGGAAUCAGAUAGAUGGUUAUUUGGGUGAGGGUCUGUUGCCACCAAGCAACCUCGAGAGCCUCACUCUGUGUGGUGAGCUAGUCAAUGCAACAAAAUGGAUCCAUAAGCUUCAAAAUCUCUCCAAGUUGGUGCUAUGGUGUAGCAAAUUGGAGCAAGAUGAUGCCAUACAAGCCCUAUGGUUUCUACCAAAUCUUGCAGUUCUACGCCUGAUGAUGCAUUCAUUCAUGGGGAAACAGCUCCAUUUCCAGAGUUCAUCUUUCCCGAAUCUCAUAGUGCUACAGCUCGAUGCAUUAGAUGACCUCCGGUCGGUGUUGUUUGAAAAAGACACAAUGCCUAAACUUGAGCUGCUACAAGUUGGUUGGUGCGAAAAGCUGAGUGUAUUCUCCAGGUUGGCAGCCUUGACAAGUCUCAAGGAAAUUCGGUUGGGUAGUCAUCUCGAUGAAAAUUUGAAGGAAUCUGUGCAGAGACAGGUAGAAGAGCGUAUCAAGCACGUCAGGGUGAAUAUUAUUAGCGACUAA